AAUUUGGUUGAAACAGAAACAAAAUGGUGACGAUGUUAGUUAUGGUAGUGUUGUCAUUUUCAGUUAUAUGUGAUUUUCUGGACUUUGUGUAAAUUUCGACAAUUAUAAGAUUUGCAGUGACAAUCCCAAAGGAAAUUACAUCCUGAGCAGUUAAUCACUUGACAUAUAAUGACUUACACCUCAAGGAAAAGUUAGAGGGCGACCACCUAAAAACAAAAUAUGCACAUGGUGUGCCGAGAGUAGACAACCGCUGAAGUACAUUCUGCCAACCCAGCACGGGAAGAAAGAGUUCUGUUCUGAGACUUGUCUCUCAGAGUUCCGGAAAGCUUAUAAUAAGGGGGCCUGCAGCCAGUGUGACAAUGUGAUCCGGGGCUCUCCCUGUCCGCUUCGAGCAACCCGACUCCAGGCACAAAGAUUUCUGCAGCACCUCUUGUCUCAACAAGUUCCAGAAAGAUUCCA